rnacentral:rRNA from 1 species
CACGUAGGGCGCGAGCGUUGUCCGGAAUUAUUGGGCGUAAAGAGCUCGUAGGCGGCCUGUUGCGUCCGCUGUGAAAGCCCGGGGCUUAACCCCGGGUCUGCAGUGGAUACGGGCAGGCCAGAGGUAGGUAGGGGAGAAUGGAAUUCCCGGUGUAGCGGUGAAAUGCGCAGAUAUCGGGAGGAACACCGGUGGCGAAGGCGGUUCUCUGGGCCUUACCUGACGCUGAGGAGCGAAAGCGUGGGGAGCGAACAGG